GUGCCCACUUUAACAGCACAUAUACUAAAAUUGGAACACUACAGAGAAGAUGAGCAUGGCCUCUGCAAAGAUGAUGUGCAAAUUCAUGAAGUGUUCCAAAUCCCC
rfam:Canis lupus familiaris chromosome 38, whole genome shotgun sequence.